rnacentral:rRNA from 1 species
CAUUACCGAGUUUACAACUCCCAAACCCCAAUGUGAACCGUACCAAACGUUGCCUCGGCGGACCGCCCCGGCGCCGCCCCUCCGGGGGAGGCCCGGAACCAGGCGCCCGCCACAGGGACCCAAACCUCUGUUUUGUUUAUGGUUCUCCUCUGAGUGGAUUUUUACAAAUAAAUCAAAACUUUCAACAACGGAUCUCUUGGCUCUGGCAUCGAUGAAGAACGCAGCGAAAUGCGAUAAGUAAUGUGAAUUGCAGAAUUCAGUGAAUCAUCGAAUCUUUGAACGCACAUUGCGCCCGCCAGCAUUCUGGCGGGCAUGCCUGUCCGAGCGUCAUUUCAACCCUCAGGCUCCCGCGCCUGGCGUUGGGGAUCGGCCCUCACCGGCCGGCCCCGAAAUACAGUGGCGGCCCCGCCGUAGACCUCCUCUGCGUAGUAGCACAACCUCGCAGCCUGGGAGCGCGGCGGCGGCCACGCCGGAAAACCCCCGACUUCUGAAAGUUGACCUCGGGAUCAGGUAGCCCGU